rnacentral:rRNA from 1 species
UACGAAGGGGGCUAGCGUUGCUCGGAAUCACUGGGCGUAAAGGGCGCGUAGGUGGCCCGGUGAGUCUUUGGUGAAAGCGCGGGGCUCAACCCUGCGUCGGCCAGGGAUACUGCCGCGGCUCGAGCACUGUAGAGGCAGGCGGAAUUCCGGGUGUAGCGGUGGAAUGCGUAGAGAUCCGGAAGAACACCGGUGGCGAAGGCGGCCUGCUGGGCAGUGGCUGACGCUGAGGCGCGACAGCGUGGGGAGCAAACAGG